rnacentral:rRNA from 1 species
UACGUAGGGUGCGAGCGUUGUCCGGAAUUAUUGGGCGUAAAGAGCUUGUAGGCGGUUUGUCGCGUCUGCUGUGAAAAUCCGGGGCUCAACCCCGGACUUGCAGUGGGUACGGGCAGACUGGAGUGUGGUAGGGGAGACUGGAAUUCCUGGUGUGGCGGUGGAAUGCGCAGAUAUCAGGAGGAACACCGAUGGCGAAGGCAGGUCUCUGGGCCACUACUGACGCUGAGAAGCGAAAGCAUGGGGAGCGAACAGG